GGCUCCGUGGUGUAGUUGUAUCGCAUUGGCCUAGAAUGCCGAAGACGCUGGUUCGAAUCCAGCCGGUGCCC
rnacentral:tRNA from 1 species